GACGAACGCUGGCGGCGUGCUUAACACAUGCAAGUCGAACGAAGAGCGAUGGAAGCUUGCUUCUAUCAAUCUUAGUGGCGAACGGGUGAGUAACGCGUAAUCAACCUGCCCUUCAGAGGGGGACAACAGUUGGAAACGACUGCUAAUACCGCAUACGAUCUAAUCUCGGCAUCGAGGAUAGAUGAAAGGUGGCCUCUACAUGUAAGCUAUCACUGAAGGAGGGGAUUGCGUCUGAUUAGCUAGUUGGAGGGGUAACGGCCCACCAAGGCGAUGAUCAGUAGCCGGUCUGAGAGGAUGAACGCCCACAUUGGGACUGAGACACGGCCCAGACUCCUACGGGAGGCAGCAGUGGGGAAGCUUCCGCAAUGGACGAAAGUCUGACGGAGCAACGCCGCGUGAGUGAUGACGGCCUUCGGGUUGUAAAGCUCUGUUAAUCGGGACGAAAGGCCUUCUUGCGAAUAGUGAGAAGGAUUGACGGUACCGGAAUAGAAAGCCACGGCUAACUACGUG
rnacentral:rRNA from 1 species